CAGCUCUGGUGGACAUUCCUGCAGUCACAUGCCAUUUGCACACUUCUUCAAAACUUGAGAUAUCUGUAGUAUUUUUUUAUGAAAAAACCUGCACAUUUGACUGUCCUUUUAUUGUCCUUUGUAAUGAUCAUGCUGUUUAAUCAGCUUCAUGAUAUGUCACACCUGUCAGGUGGAUGGAUUAUCUUGGCAAAGGAGAAAUGCUCAAUAACAGGGACGUAAAACACAUCUGUGCACAACGUUUGAGAAAUAAGCUCUUUGUGCGAUCUGGGAUGAUCUCUGGGAUCAGGAACGUUCAGAAGACCAGUUGUUUACUGGAGAUGCCACUUACAUAUAAAAUCCUUUGUUGAUUCUGCAGAUGUGACCAGAAGGUGGUGUGUGUGUGUGGGGGGGGGGCAAUAAACCCAAUCUAUUAGUAACUAGUAGAUGGUCACUGCUGUAGUUGUGUUAGCUAUACAGAAUCUCAAUGUAGUAUUUGCUCAACCAUUUCAAAAACUGAAGAAACAAAAUAAUGUUUGGUUAAAAAUCUUUAUUUUAAAUGUUUAUUUCAAGGUCUCACAAAUUCCAUAUUCCUAUAAAAGAUUUCUCAUCCCUCUGCUACCGUUGCAACAUGCCUAACUAACACCUGCACCAAAGCAUGUUAUUUUGUCAUGUGAAAGACCAAAACCCCCAAGGAAGCCUCUGGAACAAAUGUUUCUGAUCAUCUCUGCAUUGCAAUCGUGCAUUAAUUCAACUUCACUGUGUAUCAACUUCACUGUCCUCUCAGUCAUAAUAUCAGAAUUUAAAAAAGGAAUGAUAUGUAGUCAUGGUGGAGAGAGAGGGAAAUGAAACCUCACUGGACGGUUGUAGGACACGCUGCCAACCAAUAACAGCCCUGAAUAGCAGUUUGUAGUGGAGAGCUAAAACGAUCACUGUGUGACGAGUCCAUCUACAGCACAUGGAAGCCUGGGCCAACAAAGGGUUUGAGAGGACUCCUUUUCCCUUUCAACAGACUGUUGUCUACAGGGAGAGUUCACCUGAAUGUCAUCAUUUUCUUCAGCUUGCAAGGUUGUCGUCGGGCCAGGGAGUGUCUACAACUACAAAUAGGAGGUUAUUAUUACGUUGCCAAAGCAACCACAGACACACUUUAGCGUCGCUAUCGACUACCCCCCCGAGGCGUGGUUUUACGCAGAGUUCAUUUUGGCACGCAAUUUAGUUAAAGCUAUAACGAGUGAAACUGAGGUUAUCAAUACCAAUCUUAGCUGUAGGAAAGUAACCGAAUCCGAACUGUAGUUGCAGUCAAUCACAAAAACAAAACAAAAAAAAUAGAUCAAUUACAGAUCAAUUACCCUUUAAAAGUGACCCCAUGGAGUGCAGUGCAAAGGAGCCCAGGUUGUGUCUCAAGGUCUUAAAAACACUGGGAGAGUGGAGGCACCUCAAUAGUCGAAUGUGGUUUCAUCUCCUCACCUUUCACCUGCUCUAAAAGAGGUGGAGAGGAGAAAGAAAAGAACCCUUCGCCGUCCUGACCUGUCGACCCAGGAGAAGAGGAGACGAGGAGAUCAUCCUUUAGACUAUUGAAACACACCCAGGGUCUCUCUGGCCUCAGCCUCACCAAUAGUCAGGCCCUCCAGGAAUUCACAGUGAUUUUUUUUGUGGAAUUUUCUGAGAGAAAAAAAAUAAGGUUUAUUUUGCCGCUGCAAUUCUGCAUGGCGAUAUACGAUGAUUUUAUCCAAUUGGUCUGGAAAAUACACUGAUGAGGGAAAAGUUUUGUCGUGUGGCUUGAAUGAACUAUAUUACGCGGUAAAUGUGAGGUGAUUGGUUGAAAUUGCAAGCUCUCUUUUUGUACUGCGGUGAUGGGUACAUUUUAUGCGAUAAUAUUGCGACGAUUUGACUGCUUUAUUCGGAGAUGGUGCGGUGAUUGGUCAAAUUUGCAAGCCCUCACAUAAUAUGCAGGGAAUUUGUUGAUUUAGCAAAAAAAAAAAAAAAAUGAUUGGAGGA